UUUAUUGAUAACUUUGUGUGUGAUGAUGUUAGUGUUGCAAGUACGAGGAGUAUUGAAGUUAGUCCCACAUCAAAGAAAGUAAGGAAGAAUGAGGAGUUUAUAAGAUGAGAGACCCAUUAACUUGACAC